AGCCAUGCCACCUUGAAUGCACCUGAUCUCAUCAGAUCUCAGAAGCUAGUUAAGCAGUGAUGGGCCUGGUUAGUACUUGGAUGGGAAAAAAUAGAGAACAUAUAUUUAAAAAGCUU
ensembl:rRNA 5S_rRNA 5S ribosomal RNA